rnacentral:rRNA from 1 species
UACGAAGGGGGCUAGCGUUGCUCGGAAUCACUGGGCGUAAAGCGCACGUAGUCGGCUUUGCAAGUCGGUUGUGAAAUCCCCGGGCUCAACCUGGGAACUGCAUCCGAGACUGCAUUGCUAGAGUAUGGGAGAGGAAAGCGGAAUUUCUGGUGUAGCAGUGAAAUGCGUAGAUAUCAGAAGGAACAUCAGUGGCGAAGGCGGCUUUCUGGACCAAUACUGACGAUCAGGUGCGAAAGCGUGGGGAGCAAACAGG